rnacentral:rRNA from 1 species
AUUGAACGCUGGCGGCAGGCUUCACACAUGCAAGUCGAACGAGCGGCGGACGGGUGAGUAAUGUCUGGGAAACUGCCUGAUGGCGGGGGAUAACUACUCGAAACGGUAGCUAAUACCGCAUACCAUCAGAUCGGCCCAGAUGGGAUUAGCUAGUAGGUGGGGUAAUGGCUCACCUAGGCGACGAUCCCUAGCUGGUCUGAGAGGAUGACCAGCCACACUGGAACGGAGACACGGUCCAGACUCCGACGGGAGGCAGCAGUGGGGAAUAUUGGACAAUGGGCGCAAGCCUGAUGCAGCCAUGCCGCGUGUGUGAAGAAGGCCUUCGGGUUGUAAAGCACUGUCAGCGAGGAGGCGUUACUCGCAGAAGAAGCACCGGCUAACUCCGUGCCAGCAGCCGCGGUAAUUC